UUUAUUAGUCAAUAGGCAGCAAUGUAAACACUAUUUCAGUUUCAGCUGCGUAUUUUGAAUUUUGAACCCGAUUUGGACAGUGACAUCAGUGGAGUAGCAGUUAGGUAUUUUUUUAAACCCAGACGAAAAAGAGGGUCCUUGUCGCCACAGAAUGUUCUUGAGUUGGUUUGGUUCCUGAUUUCUGUUUGAACGGUCUCCUCUAUUUUGUGAAUGGUUUUCUCCGCGCUGUCCAUUCCGCUGUUCACGUUCUCUGUUGACAAUAUGUUUAAGCUUUUAUAAACAUACCAAAAGCAGUGAGUACCUGUGAUGAAGACCG